rnacentral:ncRNA from 2 species
AACGCGCUCCGGGGUCAGCGAAAAUCUGAACCGGCGGUCACAGUCCGCGACCCGGUGCGGCCCCCAGACGGUGGUCGCCCCGGUUGAACCGGUGGAACUCCGGUACCGACGGUCACAGUCCGGAAGGGAGGCAGCGCGGG